UGCUCAGGGGAGUAACAGUGUCACUGGUUGGUGACUUAUUCCGGACCCAACUCGGUCGAACUGAGUUUACAGGUCUAGCAACGCUUGCCACCGCAAUGGAAAUGUAGGUACAGAUUGCAACAACUGCCCCGUCUAGGUCUAGAUUUUUCCUCUGAAAUAAACCUGAUUUCAUCCUGGAGGAUUAUCACAUUUCAGAACACAUCUCAGCCGGGGAGUGGUGGUGCAGUUUCAACACCAGAACCUGAGAGGCAGAGGAAGUCUGGGAUGUUACCAGCAUCUUCAGGAAUCAUCACAACCCUUCAUUCAGUCAGACCAGACCCUGAGGUACGGCCCCUCUCCUCAUCUCUGGAAUUUGGGAACUGGGCAAGGCCAAGAUAGAGAGGAGGCGUGGCCCUGGCACUGGAAACCUGACUCCUGUCUCCACUUCUGUAUUUUCCCCAGGCACGGAUGAAGCCAGAGGGUUUGUGGUGUCAGGAUGUUGUCUGGGGCUGCUGGUGAAGACAGGCGGUGACUGGGAUGAUCAGGGUUCGGAAUCUCCUUCCUGCCUUCCACUCAGGUGGUGCAUAAAGGUUUAGAGAAUCAGCAUUGAAAGCGUAGACAGAUCACAGUUCUGUGCCCUUCUGCUAAACUGAGCUAAAGUCUGCGUUAGGUUCAGACUAUGUAAAUGUCAAAAUGGAGUCCCAGGAACUGCCUAGGACAGACUUUCGCCAGAGCACAAUGAAGAUGACACUGGCACUGACUCUGCUGCGAUUCUGUGUCCUGCCGGGUUAGAUACGGAACCGCGCGGGAGACCGCGGAAGCUGAUCCUGCGAGCGAAGGGCGGGCUGUGGCUGCGGGUGGAGCCGCUGACCCCACACCUGGUUUGAUAUCACCCCACCCACCCACCUCAUCGGGAUCCCAGAAUUAACAGAGGUGUUGCCCACACUCGAACCUCACCAUAUACCAACAGGGGGCGCUAUGAAACCGGACUGGUGCCUUUGAGUCCAAGAGCUUUCCUGUCCUCUAGGUGACCACAGGGCUUCCUCCCUGAGCUAGACUAUCCUGUAAGAGCCACUGUAGAUGUCUAAACAAAGGAGGGAACGGGUUUGAGCUUCUGUCACUGAAGCAAACACUGCAUUUUCUUUUGUUUUUGAAACAAGGUCUUACUCAUACAGUCGUAGUAGCCUAGACCUGACUGUGGACCAGUUUACAGCAAACUUCUGCUGAGACCUCAACCACCCAAAUGGUGCAAUUAGAAGGUGGGAUAAUUAUUAGAAACAAAGGGCAGUUUCCCAGGGGAAGUCUGGGAGCCCUUCAAAAUGAUGUUAAAUGAUGUCCAAGGCUUGCAGUGUUUAAGACCAUUGAGGCAGCUUGAAUUUAAAAUGGCAUCACAUUGCAAGCACCCUGUGUGGUGAUGUCCUUUCAGGUCUCCCCUUAUUCCUCCUGGGGCUGGGGAGGUGGCUCAGUGGAGAGACAGGAGGAUCCCGGGGCCUCACUAGCCAGCUAAUCUUGUGAAAUCAGAAAGCUCUAGUGCCUUUAAUCCUGGCACUUGUUGAGGUCAGCCUGAUUUACCAAGCAUGUUCUAGGACAGCCAGGGCCACA
rnacentral:sRNA from 1 species